rnacentral:rRNA from 1 species
AUUCCAGCUCCAAUAGCGUAUAUUAAAGUUGUUGCGGUUAAAAAGCUCGUAGUUGGAUUUCUGCUGAGGAUGACCGGUCCGCCCUCUGGGUGAGUAUCUGGCUCAGCCUUGGCAUCUUCCUGAAGAACGUAUCUGCACUUGACUGUGUGGUGCGGUAUUUAGGACAUUUACUUUGAGGAAAUUAGAGUGUUUCAAGCAAGCGCACGCCUUGAAUACAUUAGCAUGGAAUAAUAAGAUAGGACUAUGGUACUAUUUUGUUGGUUUGUGCACCAUGGUAAUGAUUAAUAGGGACAGUUGAGGGUAUUCGUAUUCCAUUGUCAGAGGUGAAAUUCUUGGAUUUAUGGAAGACGAACUACUGCGAAAGCAUUUACCAAGGAUGUUUUCAUCA